rnacentral:rRNA from 1 species
CCUACGGGUGGCUGCAGUGAGGAAUAUUGGUCAAUGGACGAGAGUCUGAACCAGCCAAGUAGCGUGAAGGAUGACUGCCCUAUGGGUUGUAAACUUCUUUUAUAUGGGAAUAAAAUGUUCCACGUGUGGGAUUUUGUAUGUACCAUAUGAAUAAGGAGCGGCUAACUACGUGCCAGCAGCGGCGGUAAUACGGAGGAUCCGAGCGUUAUCCGGAUUGAUUGGGGUUAAAGGGUGCGGAGGCUGGGAGGUAAGUCAGCGGUGAAAUGCCCCCGCUCAACGGGGUGAAGUGCCCUUGUUACUGCCUUGCUUGACUGCGGAUGCCGUGGGAGGCAUGUGUGUUGUAGCGGUGAAAUGCAUAGAUAUCACCC